AUUCUUCUGUGCUCUACAAUGGGAUAGGAUCCGAAGCCCUUCUGAGGGAUAAUAUAGGCUCUCCUACUUAACUCCUAUCCAGACAAGUUCGUGGUAACAUGUGUCAUCACAUAGUCAAGCUUGGGUACACGGACUAGUUACAACCCCUCGGGAAACAGAGUCGUAAUGAGGGAUUUUUUUUGU
rnacentral:ribozyme from 1 species